rnacentral:ncRNA from 19 species
CCUUUACACUCGCAUUUCGGUUCGGUUGUCGCUGUGAGGCACAAUCGAUAAAAAGGGAAUCGGGUGAGAAUCCCGGACAGUCCCGCUGCUGUAAUUCCUGCAAAAGUCCGUUGACACAGGCCACUGAUAAAGAAUCUGUUUCUGAAUAUCGGGAAGGCGUUUUCGGAUUGGGAAAAGUCAGAAGACCUGCCGAAGUGGGAGAGAAGCAA